rnacentral:rRNA from 2 species
ACUUAAAUUGAAGAGUUUGAUCAUGGCUCAGAUUGAACGCUGGCGGCAGGCCUAACACAUGCAAGUCGGGCGGUAACACAGGGAGCUUGCUCCUGGGUGACGAGCGGCGGACGGGUGAGUAAUGUCUGGGAAACUGCCUGAUGGAGGGGGAUAACUACUGGAAACGGUAGCUAAUACCGCAUAACGUCGCAAGACCAAAGAGGGGGACCUUCGGGCCUCUUGCCAUC